CUCUAUAUAAUAUGAGACGAACAUUGAUGAGUAUCAAUGAACAUGCAAAACUGAUUUCAUAAUAUUAUUAGAGUAAACAAAUAGGAAAAAGUAAGCAAUCGGAAGUGUUCAAUCAUGGGAACUUUUAUACGUAUUAGCCAACCCCAGCAGAUGAACACAGAACCUCCUUUGACGCUUUGUUCUUGAGAGUAAGGGCAUCAACAUCAGUUUACAGAAGUGCACUGGUGGAGGCACCGACCUGAGGACAUCCUAGAACACAGCCUUGGUGUUGACCUGAAGCACUUUGGAAUCAGAAAGCUUGGGUCUGAAUCUUAUUUCAGCCUUGAAUUUAACAUCUCUGCUACUACCUCCACCCAUCUAGAAUCCAGUCUCCUCCCUGCACAGAAGUACAAAUGGCCGAUAAGUACAUAAAGAAAUGUUCCAGAGCCGGACGUGGUGGUGCACACCUGUAAUCGCAGCACUCGGGAGGCUGAGGCAGGAGGAUCGCUGUGAGUUCGAGACCAGCCUGGCUACCUAGUGAGUUCCAGGUCAGUCUUAAGCACAUAGAGAGACCCUGUCUCAAACAAACAAACAAACAAACAAAAAAUGUUCCAGAACACUGGCCAUUUGAGAAAUACAAAUUCAAACAACAUUUAGAUUCUAGCUUAGUCCAGAAAGCACAGCUGUCAUCAAAAAAUCCAAUAAUAACAAAUGCUGGCAAGGCCGUGGGAGAAAAGGAGUCCUUUUCCAUUGUUGCUGGGAGUGUAAAGCGGUUACACUACUGUGGAAAUCAUUUGGACAAUCACCAAGAUACGAGACAUAGAAAUGCCAUUUGACUCAGAUUUUCCCUUUCUAGGUAUCUUCCCUAAAAGUAAAAGAAAAAUUAUGUAUUGGAAACAUGAACUAGUGCAAAAAGAAGAUAGAAAGAUCAGAAGAAUGAAAUUUCAAGGAAUCACAUCCAAACAAAAUAGGCUGAGCCUGGAACUGUGAAACCACUGGUUAUCUAAACGUGCUACAAAAUAAGAAGAACUCGUAUGCCUUCAGAUCAGUGAGAGCUUGGGAACAUAACAGUGACAGAGGAAGUAGAAGACUUUUCACUCAAAGAAUUUAUUCUGAAGAGAGUCCUGGUCACCAAAGGGACACAUACUUUCAGAAGAUUCCCUCUAGCCUGGGUCACAUGAGCAACAGAGAAAAUCAGAAUAUCCUUUUGCAGUCGCUGCCCAAAACCUCUUCCAGUUUUCUUACCGCGACUUCAGGUCCGUGGCAAUGGACUGGAGAGGACCCUCCCCCAAGAGCAAAGUCGGUUGUUCACUUUACAGUGAUACAUGACAGAAGCGUCCCAGAUUUGGUCUAGAAAGCCCAUGUGGAGUUUCUGCUGGCUGUUGCCACAGUCCCUCUCCUUCCUUAUGCAGAUGGAGUCCUGUCUACAAAAGCCAGUCUGCGCAGUGCUCCUGGACUCAGCUCGCCGUGCUCCAGCAUCCUGAGAGGCUCCAGCUGCUGCUCCUUGGCUACAGCGCAGCUCGUGCCGAAGAACAAAAUUUUAUUUUAAAACUCCAACAUAAGGCAAAUAAUAUAACGAUUUAAAACAAUAAUACUGGAGUGAAGAGAAGAGAGAGUA
ensembl:lincRNA